rnacentral:rRNA from 1 species
ACGCUGUAAACGAUGAUUACUAGGUGUGGGGGGACUGACCCCUUCCGUGCCGGAGCAAACGCAAUAAGUAAUCCACCUGGGGAGUACGGCCGCAAGGCUGAAACUCAAAGGAAUUGACGGGGGCCCGCACAAGCAGUGGAGUAUGUGGUUUAAUUCGAAGCAACGCGAAGAACCUUACCAGGUCUUGACAUCGAGUGAAGAGCUAAGAGAUUAGUUCGCCUUCGGGCACAAAGACAGGUGGUGCAUGGUUGUCGUCAGCUCGUGUCGUGAGAUGUUGGGUUAAGUCCCGCAACGAGCGCAACCCUUACCAUUAGUUGCUACGCAAGAGCACUCUAAUGGGACUGCCGUUGACAAAACGGAGGAAGGUGGGGAUGACGUCAAAUCAUCAUGCCCCUUAUGACCUGGGCUACACACGUACUACAAUGGCAAUAGAACAGAGGGAAGCAAUACAGCGAUGUAAAGCAAAACCCGAAAAAUUGUCUCAGUUCGGAUUGCAGGCUGCAACUCGCCUGCAUGAAGUCGGAAUUGCUAGUAAUCGCAGAUCAGCAUGCUGCGGUGAAUACGUUCCCGGGCCUUGUACACACCGCCCGUCACACCAUGGGAGUCGGUAACACCCGAAGCCAGUAGUCCAACCGCAAGGAGGACGCUGUCGAAGGUGGGAUUGAUGACUGGGGUG